UUUAAUUUUUUAAAAAAAUAAAAUAUUUUUUUAGUGAUAACGAAAAAUAUAUAUUUUUUUGGCUCAUUCAUUUCCCGCCACGAGGCUGCACUGCUAUACCGAAGGACGGAGAGAAGUCGGCGGCAAGAAUGGAGGGACAGCGAUGGAGAAGAGGAGUUCGUGUGAGGCGGGACGAAGGCUGCACCGGCGGGUGCAUCAAGUGCAGGAGUACGGAGCACUGGUCGCGCGACUGUCCUUCCUCUUCUUCAAACCCUAAUGAACCUAGCCCUAAUCUCGUCGCCACUCAGCCUCUCGGUAAGCCUUGGCGGCCACCAAGUCCUCCAUUAAGAAGGCUCCGAGAACGAGGCUCAAGCUCACCCCGCAGCUCUUGCACUCGGAGGAUGGCCUUGGUUAUGUGGUUCGCCAUUUCCCCCGCGCCUUCAAGUAUCGCGGCUGCGGCCAUGAAGUUGCUGAUCUUGGUAACUUGACUGGUCUUUAAGCACAGUGGCAUUCUCAGUUAAUCCCUUACUAUUCCUUUGAUGAAUUUGUUCGCAAGGUUGAGCAAGUUGGUGUGACUGCACGAGUUAGGAGAUGCAUAUCAUAAUUGAAGGAUAAAGUUGCCAAUGGUGGGGACCCCUCAAAGCUUCAUUAAUCCCCUAUUGAAGAAGUUGCUCCAGAAAUUGAACAAGAUGAUCACCAUUAUAGAUGAUCCAACUGCUGGAGAACCAGUUGCAGAUGCAGUAGAUCCAUUAUUUGACUCCAUUGAAACAGAUCACAUACAGGAGGAUGAGAUUUUCAAUGAGAUUUAUCACAAAGCUACUGAAGUUAGGUGAAUCUGCUGGAAGUACACAUUUUGCAAGUAUGAACACAAAAGUUUCGGAGAAUUGGUUUGCUUUCAUGAUAUGUUAAAUUUGUAUUGGAAUAUGGAGUAGGCCUUCUAGUCAUAUGUCAAUAUAACAAGAUUGAUAUGUAUGUGAUUAAAAUACAAAGCUUGUAACAAUGUAAACAGUUACAGGGGUCUCUCGAAGCGAUCUCUUGAAGAAGAAUGAUACUUGUCGUCAGAAGAGCCAUAAAUCAGAAAGCCCUUUGCACAUCCACGAAACAAAUCCCUCUCAUGGAUGUUCUCCUUUUCUCUCUAUAUUUCUCUCUUGCUUUUU